UACAGAGGGGGCUAGCGUUAUUCGGAAUUACUGGGCGUAAAGGGCUUGUAGGUGGCCAACUAAGUCAGACGUGAAAUCCCUCGGCUUAACCGGGGAACUGCGUCUGAUACUGGAUGGCUUGAGUUUGGGAGAGGGAUGCGGAAUUCCAGGUGUAGCGGUGAAAUGCGUAGAUAUCUGGAGGAACACCGGUGGCGAAGGCGGCAUCCUGGACCAAGACUGACACUGAAAAGCGAAAGCCAGGGGAGCAAACGGG
rnacentral:rRNA from 1 species